ensembl:lncRNA
AAGAUCCAGGUCAGAAACUUGUAUCUCCCAGCCUCAAGAUCAGGAUCAAAGACAUCUGACUCCCUGGCAUGAUCAUCACACUCACGGUCAGAACGGCAGCACACACUCUGGCACUGAUGCCGGGAACUGUGAGUCACUGCUCCGGGUUCUUCCUGGUGUGGAAGUGAGUCUCCGAAGAGGGAGAAAGAGCAGUCUGUCAGAUACUUCAUGCACUAUAUCCCAUGGAAUUAUUUAAGAUGAGUAAAACUCUUUUGAGAAAUUAUUUUCUUUGUUCAAAGACUCAUACGUGGAUCCUUCCUGAAAAAUAUGUGAUUAGUCUUUUUAUCUAAAAGACCAUGGAAUUCUUCAUUUUCUCAGUUUUUUUUUUUCCUACCUCCUCUUUCUUCAUCCGUUAUUUUCAACGAUAAAAAUGUAAACUUUGUUACAAGGUCAUUUGGAACUGGGAGCUUUUAGAAAAACAUUGAAUGAAAUAAAACAUAGUCAGUGACUAUAUGACUUUA